CUUCUUAUUACGUCCUCUGUAAUCAACCUCAGAUUCUUUUCUGACAUUCAGUGGAUUAUAGGCUGGCCCACCAUGGAUACCUGAGAAUAUAAAGUACUAUAUAAAGUGCUUAAGAGAACUGUUAUUUUCUCAGCUGCAGAAAUACCUGGGAUGCUCUGUUAAAGAACUUCCAUGUCAGGUAGUGUCCUAAGAGCAAAACAGACCUGAGAAGUUAUGACAGCUCUUGAUCAGAUUUCCAAGCACCACCUGAAGACUGGCAUGUACCUCAUGAAUAAAGUCAAGGAUAACAUUUUUCUGACUUGAGGAGACCAGGAAACGUGCAUCCCAUUUCAGUGUCUUUCCACCAGGGGGUGCAGUUUCCUAACACAAACACAUUUCCUGUCUGAAACUAGGCUUAAGUUUAUCACUUCACUGACUUCAAUAUUUCUUCAUGUGAAGAGUCAAGGACAUUAUUCAGGAGACACUCUAGAGAUGAACUCUUCUCCAGGCUUAGUGACUGUGAUACUCUUAGUGCUUGGACAAACCCGUGAAGACUCAGUGACCCAGAUGGAUGGCCAAAUGACUCUUCCAGAAGGGGCUGCCUUGACCAUAAAUUGCACUUAUUCAACCACUGGGUACCCCAUUACUUUCUGGUAUGUUCAAUAUCCUGGAGAAGGUCCACAGGUCCUUCUGAAAGCCAUGAAGGACAAUGAGAAGGGAACCAAUAAGGAGUUUGAAGCCACAUACCACAAAGAAUCAAAAUCCUUCCACUUGGAGAAAGCCUCAGUCCAAGAUUCAGAUUCGGCUGUGUACUACUGUGCUCUGAGUGACACAGUGAUGGGAACUGCAGGGGCAACUGAGCGCAAACUCUUUGAGUGGCAACAAGGGGCCUGGAGGCUGAGUGUCUCUCCAUUUGAUACACUCUGUGGCACAGUCUAUGGUGGUUUGUCCCUCAAUCUCUGGUUGAUA